UUCUUCGGGGUGGGGUGUAAUUCCCUGACCGGCGGUAAAGCCCGCGAGCGUAAAGCAUGAUCCGGUGUGAUUCCGGAGCCGACAGUAUAGUCUGGAUGAGAGAAGAUU
rnacentral:ncRNA from 1 species